AGACAGCAGCAGCCGCGGUAAUACAGAGGGUGCGAGCGUUAAUCGGAUUUACUGGGCGUAAAGCGUGCGUAGGCGGCUUCUUAAGUCGGAUGUGAAAUCCCUGAGCUUAACUUAGGAAUUGCAUUCGAUACUGGGAAGCUAGAGUAUGGGAGAGGAUGGUAGAAUUCCAGGUGUAGCGGUGAAAUGCGUAGAGAUCUGGAGGAAUACCGAUGGCGAAGGCAGCCAUCUGGCCUAAUACUGACGCUGAGGUACGAAAGCAUGGGGAGCAAACAGGAUUAGAUACCCCUGUAGUCCCUGUCUCUUAUAC
rnacentral:rRNA from 1 species